GGGCGAUUAGCUCAGUUGGCAGAGCAGCUGACUCUUAAUCAGCGGGUCGUAGGUUCGAGCCCUACAUCGCCCACCA
rnacentral:tRNA from 1 species